AGUGAACGCUGGCGGUAGGCCUAACACAUGCAAGUCGAACGGCAGCACAGUAAGAGCUUGCUCUUACGGGUGGCGAGUGGCGGACGGGUGAGGAAUACAUCGGAAUCUACUUUUUCGUGGGGGAUAACGUAGGGAAACUUACGCUAAUACCGCAUACGACCUACGGGUGAAAGCAGGGGAUCUUCGGACCUUGCGCGAUUGAAUGAGCCGAUGUCGGAUUAGCUAGUUGGCGGGGUAAAGGCCCACCAAGGCGACGAUCCGUAGCUGGCCUGAGAGGAUGAUCAGCCACACUGGAACUGAGACACGGUCCAGACUCCUACGGGAGGCAGCAGUGGGGAAUAUUGGACAAUGGGCGCAAGCCUGAUCCAGCCAUACCGCGUGGGUGAAGAAGGCCUUCGGGUUGUAAAGCCCUUUUGUUGGGAAGGAAAGCAGCAGGUUAAUACCCCGCUGUUCUGACGGUACCCAAAGAAUAAGCACCGGCUAACUUCGUG
rnacentral:rRNA from 1 species